AUUAAUCAUAUCUCACUGAAAAGAUCACUGUACAAUACAACUUUAUUGAUGUGUGUGUAACGACUGCUGUUCUACGCUAAACCGAAAGCGGACAGCUUAAUUCUCGAUAGGGAAAUGAGCGGAGUCUGGGAUCUGGAGAAUGGGGGUAAUACGCGAUGAGUAAUACCAGAAACGCUAAUGAGGCCAAGACGACUUACUCAUCGAAGAUGUCGAAGGAGGUGGAGUCUGUCGACGGACUCAUACUGAUUCCUACGAACAGGAGGUAGAGGAAAAUGCAAAUCCCAGCAGCAGUAUAUCAACGGAAAGGCAACGCCACACAAUAAACCAAAUUCUAAUAUGAAACAUGAACGUUAGAUGGAUUUAACAAAGAAAAAGAAAUAUAAGUUUGAAGCUUGAUUCAGUGCGAGCCAACCAAAGCAAAUACAAUUCAGAGAGUUUCAAAGACAACUUCUUGUUUCCUUCUACAAGAUUCCGGUUCUUUGGAUUCUUCUGGGCCAGAAGAGGGUGCAGGGAGAAUCACGGCGAGAAAGAGAGAUAGAUAGAGGGGCCGAGACCCAGCAGACGUAAUUAAUGAUCCCGAAAACGUUGACGACGGCAACCAGCAGCAGCAGCAGCAGCAGAAUUAAACCCAUGAAGGGGCAAACGCAUGUUUUGGACCUUUUUUAACGCUUUUGGCCGGUUGGCAGA